rnacentral:rRNA from 1 species
UACGUAGGGUGCAAGCGUUGUCCGGAAUUAUUGGGCGUAAAGAGCUCGUGAGCGGUUUGUCGCGUCGGCUGUGAAAACCUGGGGCUCAACCCCGGGCCUGCAGCCGAUACGGGCAAACUAGAAUUCGGUAGGGGAGACUGGAAUUCCUGGUGUAGCGGUGAAAUGCGCAGAUAUCAGGAGGAACACCGGUGGCGAAGGCGGUUCUCUGGGCAUGUCCUGACGCUGAGGAGCGAAAGUGUGGGGAGCGAACAGG